rnacentral:rRNA from 1 species
UACGGAGGGUGCGAGCGUUGUCCGGAAUCACUGGGCGUAAAGCGCACGUAGGCGGACUCUUAAGUCGGUGGUGAAAUCCUGGAGCUCAACUCCAGAACUGCCUUCGAUACUGAGAGUCUCGAGUCCGGGAGAGGUGAGUGGAACUGCGAGUGUAGAGGUGAAAUUCGUAGAUAUUCGCAAGAACACCAGUGGCGAAGGCGGCUCACUGGCCCGGUAUUGACGCUGAGGUGCGAAAGCGUGGGGAGCAAACAGG